rnacentral:rRNA from 1 species
UGGCGAACGGGUGAGUAAUACAUAAGUAACCUGCCCUAGACAGGGGGAUAACUAUUGGAAACGGUAGCUAAUACCGCAUAACGUCGCAAGACCAAAGAGGGGGACCUUCGGGCCUCUUGCCAUCGGAUGUGCCCAGAUGGGAUUAGCUAGUAGGUGGGGUAACGGCUCACCUAGGCGACGAUCCCUAGCUGGUCUGAGAGGAUGACCAGCCACACUGGAACUGAGACACGGUCCAGACUCCUACGGAGGCAGCAUG